UUCUCCUACUUUUUCAAUCUCGCCCAUCAGAUUCAUCCCCCCACAUUCAUUCCACGUCAACCCAGUUCAAAUCCAAUUCGUUUCACCAAAACCCCAAAACCCUAAUUCCCAAUUUGUGAGCCAUCGCAAAUUGGGAAAGCUCGAAAUGGCUUUGACCCACACGCAUUUAUAAUCUCUGCCUCCGUCACUGUCUUUGCUUCUCGGCUUCAAUGGCUUCCAAAGCUUCGUGCUUUUUCUGCAAGGCCGAGAGUGAUCAGUUCGUUAAUGGCUGGGAGCUCAAGGAUGGGUCUUUCGCCCGGAUUGUGUUGCUUUGA
rnacentral:lncRNA from 1 species